GAUAGCCUUUCGAAAGAAAGAUUAAUACCCGAUAGUAUAAUGAUUCCGCAUGGUUUCAUUAUUAAAGGAUUCCGGUAAAGGAUGGGGAUGCGUUCCAUUAGGUUGUUGGUGAGGUAACGGCCCACCAAGCCUUCGAUGGAUAGGGGUUCUGAGAGGAAGGUCCCCCACAUUGGAACUGAGACACGGUCCAAACUCCUACGGGAGGCAGCAGUGAGGAAUAUUGGUCAAUGGGCGAGAGCCUGAACCAGCCAAGUAGCGUGAAGGAUGACUGCCCUAUGGGUUGUAAACUUCUUUUAUAAAGGAAUAAAGUCGGGUAUGCAUACCCGUUUGCAUGUACUUUAUGAAUAAGGAUCGGCUAACUCCGUGCCAGCAGCCGCGGUAAUACGGAGGAUCCGAGCGUUAUCCGGAUUUAUUGGGUUUAAAGGGAGCGUAGAUGGAUGUUUAAGUCAGUUGUGAAAGUUUGCGGCUCAACCGUAAAAUUGCAGUUGAUACUGGAUAUCUUGAGUGCAGUUGAGGCAGGCGGAAUUCGUGGUGUAGCGGUGAAAUGCUUAGAUAUCACGAAGAACUCCGAUUGCGAAGGCAGCCUGCUAAGCUGCAACUGACAUUGAGGCUCGAAAGUGUGGG
rnacentral:rRNA from 1 species